rnacentral:tRNA from 1 species
GGUCUCGUGGCUAAACUGGAUAGAGCAGCUGACUUCUAAUCGGCAGGUUCGGGGUUCGAGUGCUCGCGGGAUCGCCA